GACGAACGCUGGCGGCGUGCUUAACACAUGCAAGUCGAACGGAAAGGCCCUGCUUUUGUGGGGUGCUCGAGUGGCGAACGGGUGAGUAACACGUGAGUAACCUGCCCUUGACUUUGGGAUAACUUCAGGAAACUGGGGCUAAUACCGGAUAGGAGCUCCUGCUGCAUGGUGGGGGUUGGAAAGUUUCGGCGGUUGGGGCUGGACUCGCGGCUUAUCAGCUUGUUGGUGGGGUAGUGGCUUACCAAGGCUUUGACGGGUAGCCGGCCUGGGAGGGUGACCGGCCACAAUGGGACUGAGAUACGGCCCAGACUCCUACGGGAGGCAGCAGUGGGGAAUAUUGCACAAUGGGCGGAAGCCUGAUGCAGCAACGCCGCGUGCGGGAUGACGGCCUUCGGGUUGUAAACCGCUUUCGCCUGCGACGAAGCGUGAGUGACGGUAAUGGGUAAAGAAGCACCGGCUAACUACGUG
rnacentral:rRNA from 1 species